GAUGAACGCUGGCGGCGUGCCUAAUACAUGCAAGUCGAGCGAACGGACGAGAAGCUUGCUUCUCUGAUGUUAGCGGCGGACGGGUGAGUAACACGUGGAUAACCUACCUAUAUGACUGGGAUAACUUCGGGAAACCGGAGCUAAUACCGGAUAAUAUUUUGAACCGCAUGGUUCAAAAGUGAAAGACGGUCUUGCUGUCACUUAUCGCUGGAUCCGCGCUGCAUUGGCUGGUUGGUAAGUUAACGGGUUACGACGGGAACGAUGCAUUGCCGACGUGCGGGGGGGGUCGGCCACACUGGAGCUGGGACGCGCACCAGGCUCCUGAGGGAGGCAGCAGUAGGGAAUCUUCCGCAAUGGGCGAAAGCCUGGCGGAGCAAGGCCGCGCGAGUUGUAGAGGUCUUCGGAUCGUAAAGCUCUGUUACGAGGUAAGAACAGAUGUGUAAGUAACUGUGCACAUCUUGACGGUAACUAAUCAGAAAGCCACGGCUAACUACGUG
rnacentral:rRNA from 1 species